UACGGGGGGAGCAAGCGUUGUUCGGAAUUACUGGGCGUAAAGCGUGCGCAGGCGGUGAUGUAAGACAGAUGUGAAAUCCCCGGGCUCAACCUGGGAACUGCAUUUGUGACUGCAUCGCUGGAGUGCGGCAGAGGGGGAUGGAAUUCCGCGUGUAGCAGUGAAAUGCGUAGAUAUGCGGAGGAACACCGAUGGCGAAGGCAAUCCCCUGGGCCUGCACUGACGCUCAUGCACGAAAGCGUGGGGAGCAAACAGG
rnacentral:rRNA from 1 species